CCGGCGGGGGAGCGGAAAGCCUGCGCCUGGGCGGAGCCCAGGUACGCGGGGCGCGCUCCCGGCGGCGGGAUGGCUGGACCCGGUUCCGAAACCUGGCGGCUGGUUUGCAGGAUUCCGACUGGAUCCCUUGUCUCCCCCUGCGCUGGGUCGGCGUCGGAGGGGGCUCUGCGGCGGGGUGGCGCGCACCAGGCGCUCGGCCUCAACUAGGCCUCCUCGCCCCCAAAGUGGCCUAAAUUCGCCUCCGGAACCCGGAAGGCCCUUAGCAAGCACAGACUUAAUGGGCGCUGUUUACAAAAAUUAACUGCUGUUUUCGAAGCGCCUGCGACGAGUGAGGGGCCGUACGCAGAAUACCCUUGAACAGGACGGCGUUACUGUUCCCACUGGACAGAAGGGAACACCGAGUUUCCCAGAGCUCGGGUGCCCGGGCCCCGCUCAGGGCGGCUGUCUUCCUCCUCGGGGCUGGAUGCGGGACACUCGAGUCCCUGAGACCCCGGUGGGGAGGGUCCGUGGCGGCGCCCGCGCGUGCGCCCAGGCUCCGCGCCAGCCGCCAACGUGUCUCCGCCUCUAAGGGCGCCGGAAGGUCAGGGUAGGGGUAAGAGGGUGGCUGGCGGGGUCCUAAACCCUAGCACCUGCCCGCCCCUGGCCCUCUCGCGGUGGGCCAUUCAGACCUACGCGCCCUUGUUUCUCGACCUCCGUGUGCGCCCCCACCCCCACGCCAGGCAGUCUUCUCUCCCUUUCUGCCGCGGUGCCACUCGAAGCCCCUCUCUGGGGUGCAGGGGUGUUGUCCUCACCCUCUGAACAGGACGCGGGCCGGCCUGGGCUCUGGGUGUGGUCUCAGCACAGCCUGGAAACUAAUGCCACCUGGUCUUGUGGUGGGUGUUGUGGGAGAAAGCGUACGUAAAAUGCUCCUUAAGUGAUUCCGUGCUACUGGUGUGUCCUGUCCCUGUCCCUGACCCUUGCCCCACUCAGAGGCCAUUCUGUAGCCAUAGAGGUCCCCUGCCCGGCUUCAAAUUAUAUGAUACCUUCCCUAACCACUUAGAGACGCAGGAAGACCCUACUUAUCUCUCUGAGCCACUUCUGUCUCUGUCCCUGCGCUUCAACCCGUCUGGCCUGAAACACUCUGCCCCUGCCCCUCACACAGCUGCCCUCUUCUUGUCACCGGCUCAGGUGGCGUCUUAGACCGGCCUUCAUUCUGUCACUGUCUUCAUGCACGUGUCAGCAUUGGAAAGCAUCUUACUCUCCUGUCGGUGUCUCUGCCCGCCCGGCUUGUGCAUCCCAUGAGAGUGGACACGUUCCCUGCCUCCUUCCGGGCACCUGCCUGCCACUCAGCAAAUGUAUGUUGAAUGAAUGAUCUCUGCUUGGGCGUUUCUGGAAGCUUUCUGAAGCUGUGUCAACCGGCCUGGCUGCAGUAUUGGUCAUGCACUUCAGCACACCAUACCUUCUCAGGUCUGAGUUACAGCAGUGGAAAUGCUGACUCCAGGCCUUAUUUUGUGGUUAGAGAUGCUCCCCAUUUGUAGCAGCAUAGGGUAGUACUAUCCUCUCUGGCUGCUGCAUGUUCAGACUUACUGGCCUCCUGCCUUUCUCGGAACACAGCCAAAUUCCUUCUUCCAGUUCUCUGGUCCGGUGCUCACACCAGAUGGAGUCCAGUGCAGUAAAUGCGGCUGAUUAGAUGUCUGACUUUGGAGUCAAGUCUCUGUUUGGCUCUACAUGCGCUUGAAUCCUACUCUCAGCUACUUUUGGUGUGACUUUGGAGAGUUGCUCAAACUAUGUGCCACAGGCUCUUUCUCUGCAAAAUAGAGAUGGUAAUUCACAGAGCUGCUGUGAGGAUUAAAUGAGAUAGUACAUAUAAAACUUCUGGAACGUAGGCUUUAUACCCAGCACAGAGCCCAUUUCAGGGCUUGAACUCAAGACCCUGAGAUUAUGACCUGAGCUGAAAUCAAGAGUCGGAAGUUUAACUGAAAGAGCCACCCAUGCACCCCUGAAAUGAGAAUCUUGAGCAACAGGAUGUUUUCUGGUGUGCUCCAUGCCAGGCUCCUGCAGCUGGCACCUGGCUUUCCCAGCACCAGCUCCCAAAGCACCAGAAACUUCCCUAACAUCCAGUGUCUGCAAUGCAUGAUGGUCAGCAACACACAGCCACCAGCAGCUUCUUGGCACCCCGCUUGGGUGGCUUUAUAUUGGAGUGUUCCUGGUGCGGACGGCUUUCUCCUGCACCCAAGACGGUGGAUUUCUGGGAAGCUCCAGCAACUUCUCCUGCAGCAGAACCUCUGUGACUAUUGUGCCAUCCUGGGAAACACCACACAGGCAAGGCUGGAGCCAUCUUGGGAGACACCACCACAGACAAGGCUGGAUCCCAUCCCCUCUGUUUUCUGAGAUUCUGCAUCCACAAAUAUCCCAUCUCCUGCUCCAGCAUUUUCUACCUUUUCACUAACUCGCUGUUGUCUCUUCUAGGGCGAUGACCCAGCUAUCACUCACCCUCCAGGCUUGCCUGGUGAUGAGUCAGCUGACUUUUAAAGCUCCAGGAUCCAAGUCCCACUGGCUUUAAAAACUCAGCCUGUCUGGUUUUUAAAGCCAAACAUUAUGGGGACUAGUUUUCCCCAUAUGAGCUUCCUCCUGCAAGGACCAGUUUCUCUGCCCUCCUCGUGUGCACAAGGCCCUCCAUCUGCCUCCAUCUCCGACCUUCCAAAACCUUCAGGUGCAGCUUCUUCUCUAAUUUAGUUGUGGACUUUGUUCUCUCAGUGUUUGCAUUGUGCUCUGAUUUAUUGACUUGGGUGUGCAUGAUACCUGGCUGUAAACGUGGGAUGGGGUUACCUCAGGGUCCUCCUACUCUGCCAUCUUCCCAAGCUCCCCAGAGUGGACCUGUGAUCCAGGGUGGUCAUAUCCAGAGACCACUCAUACCAGCUUUCAUGAUUUAGAUUAUGACAGUUGGGUCUUUGGAGCUGAUGAUAUAGAGAUGAGAUUUUGAACUUGAGUUGAUGAUGUAAGGGCUUGCGACUUUUAGGAAUGUUAGGAUGGGGUGAAUAUAUUUUGCAUAUGGAGUGGACAUAAAUUUUGGGGAGCCAGAGGGUAGAGUGUGGUAGGUUGAAUAAUGGGCUUCAAAGGUAUCAGUGUCCUAAUCCCCAGAACCCGUGACUGUUUUCUUCGAUGACAAAAAGGACUUUGUGGAUGUGAUUAAGUCAAUGAUCUGAAGAUGAGGAGAAUGGCCUGGAUUGUCCAGGUGGGCCCUGGAUGCAACCACAAGCGUCAUUGUAAGAAGAAUGAAAUUUGACUGAGGAAGAGAAGACUUGAGUGGUGUGAGCAUGGGAGGAGCCAUAAGCUGAGGGACACAGGUAGCCCUUGGACUCUGAAAAAGGUAAAGAAAUGGAUGCUCCCCUCAGAAUCUCUAGAAGGAAGCAGCUCUACUGACAUCUUGCUGUCAGUCCUAUAAGACUCAUUGUUAUGACUUUAAAGUUAACUGCAACACAGAAUGCCACACGGUGAGCUGUGGUUUAACAGACCCCAAGAGUAAUGGAGAUAGAGACGUUCACUACUCAUAAGCCCUGGAGUAGGUGCAUGGCAAACCUCAGGGAGCCACAGGGGGAGGUCAAGUUAGAGUGAAGAUGGAGAAGGAGGCAGGAUCUGGGGAGCCUGCCUUUGUUAGGGCUCAGGCGUGGAUGCUUUGGGGGUUCCCAGACUAAGGCUGGAUUUUCAAACCAGAUCAGUUGCAUACUGGUAAGCCCCAUGGUGGUCUUGCCUAUGAGGCACACAGUGUCAUGGCCCUGGGAGGCAGGAGAGACUGUUGAUCAUGAGCACUGUUGAGGAAGUCAUGGCAGAAAUUUACAUUUCCUGCAACUCUGCAGGCUGCUGUGUAGGGCAUGCACAUGUAUGAGGGCCGAGUGUCACUUUAUCGUCCCUGCAGGCUUUGGCCAAAGACAACGGAUGCUGAGGCAGCAAUACCUGGAUAGCUUAGCUACAGUCUUGACACUAACUUAGAUUUCUGGCCCCCAGAGAGAAUAAAUUUCAUGUUGUUUUAAGCCAUAAAGUUUGUGGUAGCUUGUGACAGCACCAGGAGAUGAAUACAGCUGACCACUGUUUUUUUUUAAACUUUUUUUUUUACAUUUAUUUAUAUUUGAGAGAUAGAGAGCAUGACCUGGGAGAGGCAGAAAGAGAGGGAGACACAGAAUAUGAAGCAGGGUCCAGGCUCCGAGCUGUCAGCACAGAGCCCGACGCAGGGCUCAAAGCCAUGGACUGAGAGAUCAUGACCUGAACCAAAGUCAGAUGCUUAACCAACUGAGCCACCCAGGCACCCCUGCUGACCACUGGUUUAAUGGGAACCUUGCUUCCAGUGGGGCAGCCCUCAGGGCCCGUCUUCCAGUUGAUGCUGUGUGUGAGCCUCAAAGUAGGCAUUGCACCAUUUUAUGAAGACAGCUUCUUCUAGGUGAUGGGACAUGUGUUAAGGUCAGUGAAUUCAAUGGACAUGAGUCUGUUUGCACAUUUCCUUUGUUCCAAAAUAUGUCCCUUGUCAGAUGAGAUGCUGUUUAGAGUACCAUGGUGAUGGUAAGUUUACAAUUGUAAAGCUUGUGGACCAGUCAUAAAAGGAAAAUACCUUAUAAAGUAGGUAUAUCUGCUGGAAACAGUUAAUAGGACUGAGAUGCUCAAACCCUGCACGUUUCAGAGAAAGACCUGUUUUCAUGAGCUCCUGGAAACUGAGCUCUUGGGAUGUCCUGACUGAUAAAACAUUUUCCAUGCCAUUGUAUAAGAUCUAAACCUGUGUGUUUAAUAUCAUACAGUUAUUAUGAGCUUAAAGUACAUGCUGCCUUGACAUUGGGAGAGCUCCAAAUGGCCUCUCUGCGUGUUCCCAUCCCCUCUGCUCCUGUGGGGAGCAUUCCAGCCAAACCACCCUCCUUAUCAAAGGGACCAAGCACAGUUCCUGCUUACCCCUGAGUAGUGAGUUUCAACUCCUGAUAGCCUAAAGAAUUAUUCAAACAAGUCAAGCACAUUUUCCUUGGAGAACCAGGGGCCUUCUCAGCCUCUUGAUACCACAACGUUGAGCACAGAGGUGCUCACAAAAGAGGGAUGGUCCAAUGCCCCAUGUAUAGUACAAGAUCCUGCCCACUGUCUCUGUUAAUUAUCUUUGGGUGGGUGGUGUCCUCGGAACUGUGAGGACCUGUGGCUGUUACCUGCUCUUGAACUCUUCAGUCCAGUUUCGGGGUGUCUU